rnacentral:rRNA from 1 species
AUGCAGUCGAGCGGAGAUGAGGUGCUUGCACCUUAUCUUAGCGGCGGACGGGUGAGUAAUGCUUAGGAAUCUGCCUAUUAGUGGGGGACAACAUUCCGAAAGGAAUGCUAAUACCGCAUACGCCCUACGGGGGAAAGCAGGGGAUCUUCGGACCUUGCGCUAAUAGAUGAGCCUAAGUCGGAUUAGCUAGUUGGUGGGGUAAAGGCCUACCAAGGCGACGAUCUGUAGCGGGUCUGAGAGGAUGAUCCGCCACACUGGGACUGAGACACGGCCCAGACUCCUACGGGAGGCAGCAGUGGGGAAUAUUGGACAAUGGGCGGAAGCCUGAUCCAGCCAUGCCGCGUGUGUGAAGAAGGCCUUUUGGUUGUAAAGCACUUUAAGCGAGGAGGAGGCUACUUAGAUUAAUACUCUAGGAUAGUGGACGUUACUCGCAGAAUAAGCACCGGCUAACUCUGUGCCAGCAGCCGCGGUAAUACAGAGGGUGCGAGCGUUAAUCGGAUUUACUGGGCGUAAAGCGUGCGUAGGCGGCUGAUUAAGUCGGAUGUGAAAUCCCUGAGCUUAACUUAGGAAUUGCAUUCGAUACUGGUCAGCUAGAGUAUGGGAGAGGAUGGUAGAAUUCCAGGUGUAGCGGUGAAAUGCGUAGAGAUCUGGAGGAAUACCGAUGGCGAAGGCAGCCAUCUGGCCUAAUACUGACGCUGAGGUACGAAAGCAUGGGGAGCAAACAGGAUUAGAUACCCUGGUAGUCCAUGC